rnacentral:rRNA from 1 species
AGUGAACGCUGGCGGUAGGCCUAACACAUGCCAGUCGAACGGCAGCACAGUAAGAGCUUGCUCUUACGGGUGGCGAGUGGCGGACGGGUGAGGAAUACAUCGGAAUCUACUUUUUCGUGGGGGAUAACGUAGGGAAACUUACGCUAAUACCGCAUACGACCUACGGGUGAAAGCAGGGGAUCUUCGGACCUUGCGCGAUUGAAUGAGCCGAUGUCGGGUUAGCUAGUUGGCGGGGUAAAGGCCCACCAAGGCGACGAUCCGUAGCUGGUCUGAGAGGAUGAUCAGCCACACUGGAACUGGGACACGGUCCAGGCUCCUACGGGAGGCAGCAGUGGGGAAUGUUGGACAAUGGGCGCAAGCCUGAUCCAGCCAUACCGCGUGUGUGGAGAAGGCCUUCGGGUUGUAAAGCCCUUUUGUUGGGAAAGAAAAGCAGCAGGUUAAUACCCCGCUGUUCUGACGGUACCCAAAGAAUAAGCACCGGCUAACUUCGUG